GGCCAGACUCCUACGGGAGGCAGCAGUGGGGAAUAUUGGGCAAUGGACGCAAGUCUGACCCAGCAACGCCGCGUGAAGGAAGAAGGCUUUCGGGUUGUAAACUUCUUUUAAGGGGGAAGAGUAGAAGACGGUACCCCUUGAAUAAGCCACGGCUAACUACGUGCCAGCAGCCGCGGUAAUACGUAGGUGGCAAGCGUUAUCCGGAUUUACUGGGUGUAAAGGGAGCGUAGACGGAAUUGCAAGUCUGAUGUGAAAAUCCGGGGCCCAACCCCGGAACUGCAUUGGAAACUGUAUUUCUAGAGUGUCGGAGAGGCAAGUGGAAUUCCUGGUGUAGCGGUGAAAUGCGUAGAUAUCAGGAGGAACACCAGUGGCGAAGGCGGCUUGCUGGACGAUGACUGACGUUGAGGCUCGAAAGCGUGGGGAGCAAACAGGAUUAGAUCCCCCGGUA
rnacentral:rRNA from 1 species